rnacentral:rRNA from 1 species
AGUCGAACGCAAGCUUCGGGUUGAGUGGCGGACGGGUGAGUAACGCGUGAGAAUCUGACUUGGGGUCGGGGACAACCACUGGAAACGGUGGCUAAUACCGGAUAAGCCUUUGGGUAAAAGAUUUAUUGCCCCAAGAGGAGCUCGCGUCUGAUUAGCUAGUUGGUGAGGUAAAAGCUCACCAAGGCAGCGAUCAGUAGCUGGUCUGAGAGGACGAUCAGCCACACUGGGACUGAGACACGGCCCAGACUCCUACGGGAGGCAGCAGUGGGGAAUUUUCCGCAAUGGGCGAAAGCCUGACGGAGCAAGACCGCGUGAGGGAGGAAGGCUCUUGGGUUGUAAACCUCUUUUCUCAGGGAAGAAGCUCUGACGGUACCUGAGGAAUCAGCCUCGGCUAACUCCGUGCCAGCAGCCGCGGUAAUACGGAGGAGGCAAGCGUUAUCCGGAAUUAUUGGGCGUAAAGCGUCCGCCAGGUGGCGAUUCAAGUCUGCUGUCAAAGCACGGGGCUUAACUCCGUUAAGGCAGUGGAAACUGAAUAGCUAGAGUGCCGUAGGGGUAGAGGGAAUUCCCGGUGUAGCGGUUGAAAUGCGUAGAGAUCGGGAAGAACAUCGGUGGCGAAAGCGCUCUACUGGACGGCAACUGACACUCAGGGACCGAAACUUAGGGGAGCGAAGCGGAUUAGAUACCGCAGUAGUCCUAACCGGAAACGAUGGAUACUAGGUGUAGCUUGUAUCGACCCGAGCUGUGCCGAAGCUUACGCGUUAAGUAUCCCGCCUGGGGAGUACGCACGCAAGUGUGAAACUCAAAGGAAUUGACGGGGGCCCGCACAAGCGGUGGAGUAUGUGGUUUAAUUCGAUGCAACGCGAAGAACCUUACCAGGGCUUGACAUGUCCGGAAUCCCGGUGAAAGCUGGGAGUGCCUUCGGGAGCCGGAACACAGGUGGUGCAUGCCUGUCGUCAGCUCGUGUCGUGAGAUGUUGG